ensembl:lncRNA
CCCCUGUCUGGUACAUGUACCUCGUCUGCCCUCUCCUGUCUCCCCCUGUCUGGUACAGGUACCUCGUCUGCCCUCUCCUGUCUCCCCCUGUCUGGUACAUGUACCUCGUCUGCCCUCUCCUGUCUCCCCCUGUCUGGUACAUGUACCUCCACCACACUCACCCCUCUCUCUCUCUCUCUCUGGCCUGUCUCCCCCUGUCUGGUGCAGGUACCUCCACCACACUCAUCUCUCUCUGUCUCUCUGUCUCUCUCAAAUCCUAUUCUAACCACCUCUCGUAUUCAUGUUACCUGAUGAAAUUGCUGUAUAAUAUGAUCUUGUUGCCUUCUCAUGCACAUUCAGAUAUCAUAAAUCAACACUGCAGAGCUCUCUCUGCCGUGCUUUGAUUGUUUUACUGCUGAUGAUAUCUGGGAAUGUGUAUGUACACCCUGGCCCAUCAGCAGCUAGCCCCAAUUCUGACUUGUGCUCUAUUUGCUUCACUGAUUUAUGCUCUCGUAAAUGUCUGGGUUUUCUGCACGUUAACGUUAGAACCUUAUUACCUAAAAUGGAUCAAUUUAAGGUGUGGGUUCACAGCUCCAAUCCAGAUGUGUUGGUCAUUACUGAGACGUGGUUAAGGAAGAGUGUUUUGAAUACUGAUGUUAAUCUUUCUGUUUAAAACCUUUUUCGGCAAGACGGAUCUUCCAAAGGUGGUGAAGUGGUAAUCUUUACCAAGGAUCACCUUCAGUGCUCGGUUGUCUCCACCAAGUCUGUCCCCAAACAAUUAGAUUUUCUGGUUUUAAGCAUUAAACUUUCAAAUAGUUAUUUGUUGACUGUUGCUGGGUGUUAUCAUCCUCCAUCAGCCCCAGCCUGUACCCUACCUGCCCUAAGCUCUCACCUAGAAAAGGCUACUCUCCUCGAUGUUAUCCUCAAUAACCCUGAUGGGUAUCAGUCUGGUGUUUUCUGUAAUGACCUUAGUGAUUACUGAUUUACAGCCUGUGUUCGUGAUGGCUGAUCAGUGAAACAACCUGUCCUGAUUUUGUCAUAGACGCUUGGUAAAAAAACGUCCUUCCUUCAUGAACUGGCCUCUGUAAAUUGGUAUAGAAUCAGCUUGAUCCCCUCUGUCGAAGACGCUUGGACCUUCUUUUUUGAUAUUUUCAGUGGUGUUCACAAACACCCCCAUGAAGAAAAUGAGAAUUUAAAAACAGGUUCAGCCCCUGGUGCGACCGUGAUCUUGCAGAGUUACUCCACCAGAAGAAUCUCAUUUGGCAAAAGGCUCAGCCAGACAUACUCAGGCUGACUGGCUCUCGUUCAGGCAAAUGAGAAAUAAGUGCACUCAGGCUAUCCGGAAGGUCAAAGGUAGUUACUUUAAGGAGCAGUUCUCUCUCUGUGGGUCUCACCCCAAGAAGUUCUGGAAUAUGGUUAAAGACCUGGAGAAUAAACCCUCCUCCUCACAGCUGCCCAUGUCCCUUUAUGUUGAUGAUGUGGUUGUUACUGACAAGAAGCACAUGGCUGAGCUCUUUAAUCACCACUUCAUUAAGUCAGGAUUCCUAUUUGACUCUGUCAUGGCUCUUUGCCUGUCCAACAUUUCCUCAUCUCCCACCCAUUCUAAUGUGACUAGGCCGAUGCUCCUCUUUUUCCCCUGCCCCGCUACAAAGAUUCUCCCUGCAGGCGGUCACUGAAGGGGUGUCCACAUACUUUUGGCCAUAGUGUUUAUUUCUUCCACCUCCCUGAUAUCUGUCCAUUCCUCUCUUUCACAGUUCUCUCACUACUUUGACUCCACCUACUCCUCCUCCUUUAACCGUGAAGAGAAGAGACCCAUCUACAGCUGUGAAUAAUACUACUGCAUAUUACAGAAUUUUACUGAAUAUUACUUGGUAUCACUGAAUAUUGCUGAUGCUAAUAGUAUUUUGUCAUAAUAUUACUGAUGCUAAUAGUAUUUUGUCAUAUUACUGAUAAUGUAUGUGUGUGUUCCAGUGAGGAAGGAGUCCAAGAGUUUCCUGGGCCAGCAGCUGGAGUUAGACCUCCCCCAAGAGGGACUACACCAGUCACACACACACCACACCACACCCCGUCUGGGACUGUGACGCUGCAGGAUGCUAGGGGACAGCAGGAGAACACAGCAGGCAGAGCAGCAUCCUUCUGACCCCUCAAUAAAUACUGAUAAGAGUGGUUCACUUUUAGUAGUGCAUCAGUGAAUGUGGACUACUGUGUGUGUGUGUUUUACUGUAUUUGCAGCCUUUGGAGCCAAAUGUUCUUUUGGAUCAACUCCCCCUGUUCCCUCUCUUACCCCAUCUCCCCUCGUCCCCUCACUCACUCCCACUCUACCCCCCCACACUCUCUCUCUGUGUCUCUCAAAUAGCAUUGUAGUUUUUUUUUGUAAAUUCUUUCAGUGUCAAGUAAAUCUCUUUGUUUUCCUCAUGAUUGGGUUGGGUCUAAUUAUGUUGCUGUGUUGGGGCUCUGUAGGAAGCAAAUCAAAUUUUAUUUGUCACAUACACAUGGUUAGCAGAUGUUAAUGCGAGUGUAGCGAAAUGCUUGUGCUUCUAGUUCCGACAAUGCAGUAAUCCAGCUAACAAUUCCAAAACUACUACCUUAUACACAAGUGUAAAGGGAUGAAGAAUAUGUACACAAAGAUAUAUGAGUGAUGGUACAGAGCGGCAUAGGCAAGAUGCAGUAGAUGGUAUCGAGUACAGUAUAUACAUAUGAGUAUGUAAACAAAGUGGCAUAGUUAAAAGUGGCUAGUGAUACAUGUAUUACAUAAAGAUGCAGUAGAUGAUAUAGAGUACAGUAUAUACAUGAGAUGAAUGAUGUAGGGUAUGUAAACAUAUUAGGUAGCAUUGUUUAAAGUGGCUAGUGAUAUAUUUUACAUAAUUUCCCAUCAAUUCCCAUUAUUAAAGUGGCUGGAGUUGAGUCAGUGUGUUGGCAGCAGCCACUCAAUGUUAGUGGUGGCUGUUUAACAGUCUGAUGGCCUUGAGAUAGAAGCUGUUUUUCAGUCUCUCGUUCCCAGCUUUGAUGCACCUGUACUGACCUCGCCUUCUGGAUGAUAGCGGGGUGAACAGGCAGUGGCUCGGGUGGUUGUUGUCCUUGAUGAUCUUUAUGGCCUUCCUGUGACAUCGGGUGGUGUAGGUGUCCUGGAGGGCAGGUAGUUUGCCCCCGGUGAUGUGUUGUGCAGACCUCACUACCCUCUGGAGAGCCUUAACUCUUUUGCCAGGUCACUUCACCUAUUUUGUGGUCCGAGUUCUAUUUUGCAUUCACAUUGCUAUGUUUGGAAAAAGAUCUUGAUUCCUUUCUAACAUUCACUCAAUGAACUCUGGGUUUUUACAAAGUUCAGGACAAGCCAUUCCAUCAGAAUGUGUUAUCGGACAGCUAGUUACACCUACUUACAUUGUGAAAGCUAAUAGAUUACAUUUUGUUUUAAGAUGAGACAUAAUUGUUAUCAGAAGAUACUAAUAACAUGUAAAUAUUAUUAUUAACAGAAUAAUAACUACAGAUUAAAUAAUGGAGUAAUUGAAGAUUGUAGAGCCAAUGGUGUGUGUUCACAUUGCCCUAAAAAGGGAACCGGUCCAACUGUGAAAAUACCCCUAGACCACAAUAAACCAAAAUACAGCCAUUCACGUUCGUCAACGUUCAUUCAUAUUCAAACCAAAAUCCAGAUUGGGCCUAUUCCAGUAACCGGUUAUAGUAUCAUUAUUCUUAACUCAUACUGCCCGCUAUUUUGAGAAGGGAAAGCCAAUUUACCUUCAAUUUGUAGAUCUCUUACGACAGGGGAAAC